rnacentral:lncRNA from 1 species
CUGUAAAAUUCAAAGUUCUUUGUAAUAUCCUGCCAUGGAAUGCUGUUGACCUGCAGUGAUGCUGUCCUCUCCAUUUUCUUCUCAAGAGCCACACACUUCUGACCCAAGCUGUUGACUGGGGGUCUGUCCUGCUUCACCAGUGAGCCACAUAGAAACUCUGACCCAGAACUUGUGUGGGGGACACCUGCACUAUGGAAAGAAAGAAGAGAGUCCAAAAGAACGCUCCAGCACACAGCCACAUCUCAGACAUGUACAGCAGCCUCUCUGGGGCAGGAGGGACCAGGGAACAGACCUCAGUGAUGGCUGCCUCUCCCACAAGCAGGAUGGGGUGCUCUUGCUUCUACAGCAAUACGUGGAAGGUUUUGUUUGUUUAAUUCUCCUGUGAGGCUGUUAUACGGUAUGUCCAGGAAAAUAUCUUUUUUUUUUUUCCUCUUUGGUUUGAAUCCGUUG